AUCCAGGUGCAAUUUUCAUCUGUGUUACCAGUUCCUCUAUGGUAACCUGACAGUGACUCACAAUUCCUUACAGCACAGUGUUCCAAAGUCUGAGCCACAGACCACCUGUCCUAGUAGCAGCAGGUGGGCUUGAUAAAAAUGCAGAUUCCUGGUUCCCUGCCAGCCCUGUGCAAUCAGAUUCUGUAAAGUUUAAAAGUAAUGAUUUACAAAUUUCCCAGACCUGGGUUAUACUUUUAUACAGAAACAUAAUGCCUGAAUCUGACAGAGUGCUUUUUCGUGGAGGAAAGUUAGGACUCUUGGGCAGACUUCUUGUUGCUUUCAUACUCUACAGGUGUUCCUGACCCUGGUAUUUAUACAGCCAUCUCUGCCCUACCUACUUCCUUCCUUCCCCUGGAACUUCCUGAAGUGGUUAGGAACAAUUGCUGUGAAGGUCACAGGAGACCAUUUCUGUGAAUGCCAGAUGUGCUGGUGCAAUUUGAAAAGGUCAAUUUGAUUGACGCCUGAGCCACAGUGAUAACCCAAGGCAGCAGCCCUGUAACUGCUAGCUCUCAACAGUGGUGGCAUCGGCAGCCUUGAGCAAAGAGACUGUUUAAACUGAUGGAGGGGAAGCUUUAGUUCCUAUUUCUGGGGGAUCGAGUGGCCCCAGGAGAAAGGCUGAUCACUAGUUGCAACUUCCUUUGUAUUUACAAUAGUGUUUGCUGUUAGUUUAGCUGUGUUUAGACUAAAGGUGGGGGCAACAAUUACCCCUUUCUCUAAAGCUGUGAACUCUGACCUCUCGGUCUAGAGUGAGAUGGACUCUGGACAUGUGGACAGGCUCUACGAGAUUCUUCCUGACAAGGGCUGUAUGAGCUGACUUUUCAGAAGGAACUUGGUCAUGAUGGUGGAUCACUAUUCAGAGAGACACACUCUUUCUCAAAGCAAUGACAGGGGCAGCAGGGACUACAUUAAGUUUUGACAGGGUCCUGCAGCUGUUGGGGCAAAAGGGUCUGCCUUGGCCUCUGGGGGUCUCUGUACUGCAGAACUGCAGCGGAUGUACAGGGAUUGCUGGGGGCUGCAGAAGGAUUUUGCAAUAUGCAUUCAUGUUAGCUUCAGAGUGCCCAAAAUGAGCAUGAAAACGCUGUCAGAAAGGCAGUUAUUGCUACCUGAAGUCCCUGUUGGAGCAAAGUGCAAAUUAAAUACUGGUAAAAGAAAACAAAGCUGAUCACUGUUAUAUAGCAAAUGUCACUGUCCUGUGUACCUAUUUGGUCUACGGGCUGACUCCAGGAGGUGGGAGGUGCGACUGCAUGGAGCCAUGUUCGGCCUCCUACCUUCAAGGCCGGCCGCAUCUCUGAAUGGGGAGCUGGUGAGAAAGAGCUCUCCUUGAUAAAACAUCAUUUUUGCCCUUCCCAAUCUAGUCUUUCCUUUUCUGUUUUCUAGGAACAAGAGGAUUUAUCUGACUCAACUGGAGAUGGCUCCCUUCCCUAAUUUAUUGUUGCAUCCUGAAGCUUCUCCCAUGCUGAGCUCAGUGUGAACAAAUAGCGCUGGAGGAUGUAACCACUGCAGAGGCAUAUGUUUGAGAUGUCUGGCCACUGGAGGUCAUCUCGUCUACUAUGUUCACUGCAGAUAAAGAAUGAAAAGAGAAUGCACAACCUUGUGAUUGCUAGCAGUGAAAGCUCAGAGUUGUGACAUAACAGGUACAAAUUGAUCUGACUUGAUUUGUCAGAGAGCCAGAACUGCAGGCAAAUAGACGCCAGAGAAAUCAACCGAUCUUUUAAGCCAGCAGUAAUUGUUCCUCCUGUCGGCUGGCUAAAUGAGUUGUAUCUGGAGGAGAUCCUCAGAAUGAAUCAGAAUGCUCGAGGUGACAGAAACACAGAGCAUUCCAAAGUGGGCUGUAACAGAGAAUUAAAUUGAGUUCAAGCAGCUUGGAACAGCUUGAUGGCUUCUUUCUGCCACAGAAGGUGCCGGGUGUCCUGCAUCUAGACUCUGACAUCCUAUUGACUGGUUGGAAAGAACCCAAGGGGACGUGGGCACACUAUCCCUUCCUGGGCCUCUUCCCGACGUGGCACGUGUGGGAAAUCAGGAAGCUCCCAGACGUGGAGCAACUCAGGUGAUCAUGGCACAGAGAGACUUUUUUUCUUAGGAAAUAUUUAUUUAAAGAACUUCCUGACUAUAGAGGGAAAUAUGAUGAAUGCCAUGGAUAUUAUGAAGAGGGGCUUGAGCAGAGAGAAUGCUUAGAGGCUAAGCGAUGGGCAUAUGAGAGGGAAAGCGGCGACAGAUAGAGCUGGCUGCCUAGGGGUCUCAGAGGCUUCAUCCUGCAGGCGGCAGGACAAAGGGUCCUUCGAGCUCCAGAUCAAGAUUCCAAGGAGUUAAACGUUACCACGCAGCCCGACCUGGAUGGGAUUUGCUCCUGGGUACAAAACGGGACACUGAUCAAAAUCGACUUGGACAAGUGACAAGAGUGAGUCUGAUGUCGGUGGAUGUCUUUUAAGGUCGUUGGAGGGAAGAGGACGGGAGGGGUGUGCUGAGGGGUAGGUGGAGAGAGGCACCGAGUCCAGAGCCGGGAUAUAAAGGCACCAGGAGCCGGGGAGCAGAGGAGCAAAUGAGUGGGGGAAAGAGCGAGAGGAAGAGUUGGAGAAAAGUCGAGGGAAAGUAGGGACAGGGUUAAGGGGAGAGAGGAGGAUGAGGGCGGCGAGGAGAGAUUAAAAGGGGAAGGGGGUCGCUGGAGAGGAGGGCGGACUGUGGA